GCCCGCUUGGCUCAGUGGUAAAGCGCAUCACUAGUAAUGAUGAGAUCACUGGUUCGAUUCCAGUAGUGGGCA